UUAAGUUCAGCGGGUAUCCCUGCCUGAUUCGAGGUCAACCAUAGAAAAUUGGGGGUUGCUGGCCAGCAUCCACCGGGACUCACACGCGAGGGUAUAAUUACUACGCGUAGAGCUCGAUGGCGCCGCCACUAUUUUAAGGCCAGCCGUUGCCGGCAGGGCCCAAGACAAGCCUGUGCUUGAGGGUUGAAAUGACGCUCGAA
rnacentral:misc_RNA from 1 species